CAAAAUAAGGGCUGUGUAGUCGCUCUGGAUAAGAGCGUCUGCUAAAUGACGUAAA
rfam:Salmo salar isolate Sally breed double haploid chromosome ssa09, whole genome shotgun sequence.